AGUGAACGCUGGCGGUAGGCCUAACACAUGCAAGUCGAACGGCAGCACAGUAAGAGCUUGCUCUUACGGGUGGCGAGUGGCGGACGGGUGAGGAAUACAUCGGAAUCUACUUUUUCGUGGGGGAUAACGUAGGGAAACUUACGCUAAUACCGCAUACGACCUACGGGUGAAAGCAGGGGAUCUUCGGACCUUGCGCGAUUGAAUGAGCCGAUGUCGGAUUAGCUAGUUGGCGGGGUAAAGGCCCACCAAGGCGACGAUCCGUAGCUGGUCUGAGAGGAUGAUCAGCCACACUGGAACUGAGACACGGUCCAGACUCCUACGGGAGGCAGCAGUGGGGAAUAUGGGACAAUGGGCGCAAGCCUGAUCCAGCCAUACCGCGUGGGUGAAGAAGGCCUGCGGGUUGUAAAGCCCUUUUGUUGGGAAAGAAAAGCAGCAGGUUAAUACCCCGCUGUUCUGACGGUACCCAAAGAAUAAGCACCGGCUAACUUCGG
rnacentral:rRNA from 1 species